rnacentral:ncRNA from 2 species
AGGAAGCCGGUGUGAUUCCGGCACGGUCCCGCCACUGUGACCGGGGAGCGGACCCCACGCGUGACCACGGCCUGCGGGCUGGAAGGGCGGGGCGAGCGGUGAUCCGGGAGUCAGGACACU